AAUCAAUCUCUCUCUCUCUCUCUCUCUCACACACACACACACAUACACACACAUACCAGAAAGAGAAAAUGGUGAGCAUCGUUGCAAACAUGAAGAAAGGGAUAAGUAAUCUUGUUGACAUUGUAUCUUGCGGCAGCAGAGGAACAAAGGAAAGUGAUGUUGAAGUGCCAAAGAUGAAAGUUGAGACUAAAUUAGCUACGACAACAGCAAGAGGUGCAGAAAAGGACAUAACCAAUGGUCCUGGUGUUGAAUCGACUUAGAAGAUGACACAAUAUACUAUCACUAUUUAUUGUAUUACUACUUUGCAUCUUCUUGAUUGUUUCAAUUGUUUAUGUAUCUUUGUUAUGUAGUACUGCCAAAUUUGGGUGGUAUUAUUGUUAAGUUUAUAGCUUUAAAUAUUAA